CCCUCAACCAAGGUACAUGCCCCUGACCAGAACUGAACCCGGGACCCUUCAGUCCGCAGGCUGAUGCUCCAUCCACUGAGCCAAACUGGUCAGGACUAUUUGUAAUUUUUAAAAAGGAAAUGGAUUCACUUUCCCUGCACGAGCGCCUGCAGCCUGGCACACAGGUGCAGUGUGAGGAAGACCCUCAGCACAGAAGCAGCGCUUCUAGGGUGCACUCAGGACAAUGUGGGACACCGCCAGAGCUGAACUUCGCAGCUUUAAUCGUGACUUCAUUACUACAGCGCCUGUGCCAUCUUCAUGCCUCAUGCACCCCUUUCUCCACCCUGAAUGGCAGCCAGGAACCAACAGAGAUUCCGAGAAUUAUUUCCUUGGCCCAGAUCUCCUAAAACCAGUCAGGAUUGGGGCUGAAGCAGGAAGGGCUGGAGAUGGAGUUAAUCAUCAAUGGCCAAUGAUUUCAUCAAUGCAGCCUGCAUCAUGAAGCCUUCACAGAACUCCUACACAGCAGUGUUUGGGGCGAUUCCAGGUUGGGGCACACAUCCAUGUGCUGGAGGGUGGCACACCCAGAGAGGCGCGGAGCUCCAUGGCCCUCUUCCCCAUACCUUGCUCGAUGCACGUCUUCCGUCUGACUGUUCCAAGCGGUAGCCUUUACAAUAACCCAGUAACAUAAGUGAGGUGCUCCCUGAGUUCUGUGAGUUGUUCUAGCACACGACCAAGUGGGGAAGGGCAGGAGCCUCCCAGUGUGUAGUCGGCCUGGCAGCAGACCCAGCGGGAGCAGAAGAGGCGGGAAAACGUGAACUCAGCCCGGGGCCAGGGGACUGCCGUGUUUGUGGUGUGUGCGCAGGGUGUGUUCUCUGGGGAAACCGCGUACUCUGAAAGCUAGAGGAGAAAGGACGGCACUCUUGAUCCUCUCCAUUAUGUUGACAGACGAGAGUUGUCAGGGCUUAUGGUGAUGCCUGCAUCUGAAUCCCACAGGCUGGGCGGGUAGCUCAGUCUUCAGCAGCCCCCAUGCUUUGAGUUAAGUUAGCCCCCAAUGUGCCUGCCUUGCUGGCUGCCACG